AGGAAUCCACAGGAUAAUGCAAAGCAACUAUGCUAAGAGCUGGGGGAAGUCUGAAGAGAGAGAGAGAGCUGGUAUGGAGAGAGGGGAGACGCCUGCAUCAGCAAAGCUGAAAGAAGUAGAAAGUACCAUAGACGGUGUGGAUGAAGGCCUGGCUACCUAGAGAACAGCUAAGGAAAAACAGCAACACCAACAUGGGCACCAGCUAAGGGAGAGACGACAACUGGAAAGUUGUUUCUUCAACGAGGUACAGAUUUUAGAAUGCUACAAAUGGAGGGGG